rnacentral:rRNA from 1 species
AACGAACGCUGGCGGCAGGCCUAACACAUGCAAGUCGAACGCCCUAGCAAUAGGGAGUGGCGCACGGGUGCGUAACGCGUGGGAAUAUGCCCUUCACUGCGGAAUGACGUUUGGAAACGAACGCUAAUACCGCAUAAUGACUCCGGUCCAAAGAUUUAUCGGUGAAGGAUUAGCCCGCGUUAGAUUAGCUAGUUGGUGAGGUAAUGGCUCACCAAGGCGACGAUCUAUAGCUGGUCUGAGAGGAUGAUCAGCCACACUGGGACUGAGACACGGCCCAGACUCCUACGGGAGGCAGCAGUGAGGAAUAUUGGACAAUGAACGCAAGCCUGAUCCAGCCAUGCCGCGUGAGUGAAGAAGGCCUUCGGUUGUAAAGACUCUUUCUAGAUGUGAAGAUAAUAGACGGUAGCAUCAGAAGAAGCCCCGGCGUAAAUUACGUGCCAGCAGCCGCGGU